rnacentral:rRNA from 1 species
GACUACCGGGGUAUCUAAGCCGGUUCGCUCCCCUAGCUUUCGGGCCUCAGCGUCAGGGUUACCCCAGUAGACCGGCUUCCCCACUGGCGUUCUUACCUGUAUCUACGGAUUUCACCCCUACUCAGGUAAUUCCGUCUACCUUUGGUACCCUCAAGUCUUACAGUUUCAAACGCAUUUCUACCGUUGAGCAGUAGUAUUUCACAUCUGACUUAUUUGACCGCCUACGCCCCCUUUACGCCCAGUAAUUCCGGGCAACGCUCGCCCCCUACGUCUUACCGCGGCUGCUGGCACGUAGUUAGCCGGGGCUUUUCUUUAUCUACCUUCAUCCAACUGUCCCCAGUUGUCUUUAUUCGAUAAGUUCAGAAGUUUACAUCCCGAAGGACUUCUUCCUUCACGCGGCGUCGCUGGAUCAGACUUCCGUCCAUUGUCCAAAAUUCCCCACUGCAGCCCCCCGUAGG